AGAAGUUAAAAAAGAAUUUCAGCAAUGCAUUGCUGCACUUUAUUGUUAUGAUAAACUGCUAUCAAGUUUCAAGUCUAUUAGUGGAACAAGUUUUCAAUCUGCAAUUUAUAUGGAACUACGAUGCCUAGUGUCUUAAAAAGUCUUUAUUUGCAGUGGAUAUCCUAGGGGAAAAAGACUGAGUCUUUGUCAGCUGUGCUAUUAAUGUUUUGGAUGAAAUAAUGUCAAAAUGUGUUCUACCAUUGUCUAAGAAAGUUGGAACUUAUGGAAAUAGACCACUAAAAAAAACUUUAUUGAGUAGAGUAAUUGUAGUUACUUUUUAAAUUUUUAUGUUCCUUUAAUAUACUGUGCGAUAUUUUGUAUUACUUAUUUCUUAUUAUUAUAAUUUAUAUUUUAAUGGAUUUUUUUUUUACAUGCUAGUGAAAUGCAUGAAAGAUUUCUAUAGCAUUUUUCUUUUUGAGGAACAUUAGUGUCACAUACCGCAAAUUCAAUUUGGUCGAUAAGUUGAAAAGCGAUUGUUUAAAGAGAAUAAUAGAAUAAAUAGCUUAUAGAAUAGCAAAAAAAACUACUAUAUUAUGUUUUGUAUGCUUAAAUUGUAA